CUUUGGGCCUCCUUUCCAAGCCCAAGCCUGCUCUAUGCUAGGCCUUAGGCUUCUGGGCUGAGCCUCGGGCUAACCUAGAUGAGGUAAAAGUGAGGAGGCGAGAUGUUAGCAAGGAGGUGACUAGAGUCGAGAAGUGAAGAUAAUGUGAGGAGAAAGUUAAAAGAAUGGGAUGAUGCGAGAAGAUGAUGAUGAGGAGGAGGAGGUGGAGAGGCGGUAAGGCAGUUAAGAGGAGGA
rnacentral:lncRNA from 1 species